GCAGGACCUCUCGAGCCAACCCCUCCAAGAUAUUGCCAAACCCACGUGGAACCCGAAGAUGAGUGUUUGAAAAAGGCACAGACAUCGUCCUUGGUCAAAUACAGCUUCGCAAAAACGUUUGUUUUGCAUCAGUAACAGUUGACGCCGGAGUGUUGAUAAUUGUUGCUAGGCAACAAGGCUCAGUCUAACUACGGUGACGAAAGAGGUCCAUACAGGGUGAUAACAGCAUACUCAGAGUUUUGCUCAUCUUCCUUGAGAAUUCUCAGGGCUGAACAUGCAGUCUGUCAGCUGAGCGGGAGGCCUGCAGGUGGGAUCUAGCUUCGGGGCUGGUGCUGGGGCCAGGGCCUGCCUCUUCUCUCCACCUCUGCAGGGGGGACAUGAAACACACACACUAUUUCAGAAAUCACAAAGCGAUUGUUUCCAAUCCUCACCUCUCUAUGGUCCCCCGAAGCCAUGUAGGAGAUCUGUGUGAGCCCUGGUGUGCUGGCCCCUCGCAUAGUAAUCAUGAUGUCAGCGUAAGGAACCUCAUGAUCACUCUGGCAAUCUAGCUCAAAACAGGAAAUGCAAUGUUUUGUACAGUAGAUGUUGUUAUUACACACCCAGCUUAGCAACUGAAAUAAAUGGUACAUUCCAUUAGCUUACCAGCCAGAGUUAUUCGCAGUGCCACCCUCUCACAAUCGGUUGAGCAUGCACCUAUAAGAUAUGAAGUAACCUAUUAGGAUUACAAUUCACAACAUUGAGUGAACUGGUUGUGAUAGCAAUUUUGUCAAAUUAAACAAAUAUUUACCUGAUCCUUCUCUUGAUGUUGUGCUGAUAAAAGACCAAUAAACAAAU